CCAUGACUAGGGUCGGCUAAUAUCUCAAGUGACCUCUACACUAUCUGUGUGACCAAGACCAGGCCAAAAUCCUUCCCUAGGCCCUUAAGCCAGUACGGGCAGCCUGGUUCUAGAGCUCAUCUUCUUGGAAGAGAUAUGUGCCUUGAAUUCAAUUUCCAUACAGUUAUGCUUUCUUGUGUAUCCAGGAUUGCAUUAUACCAGGAAACUUUUUUCUUUCUUCAAACUGAACUGUGUUUUAAAUAUGUUGGCUAUGAACCGCCGGGCAUCGGACUUCCGAGUCCCAGCCAGGUUGAUGACGUCAAUCUGAACUGGAUUUUUAUUCUCACCUCUUCUUGGUUCACUUCCCUGCCUGGAUACCAGCAGUGCGCCCUUCACUCCGCCUGCCAGAAAUAUUGUCCUUUGUCCUUGGACUCAUCUGUGGAGAACCUGGAAGAAAUGAAUGUGUGCCAGGAAGACAAAGGCCUCUGAGGGUGCACUGUGUGGACAAACAAUUUGUUAGUCGCCGCCCUUCCUUUAGAUCGCUCUAGUUUCCGAAGAAGCUACCCCAGAGCAAGGUUACAUUUCCUCGACCUCACUGAUCAAUGCUUCAAACCCCAAUGGUGGAAACCCAAGUAAAACCAGAGUAAAUAAAGAGGGGCGUUCACUGGCUUACCCGAUGGAAAAGUCAGGAGCUUGGGCGCGAUGGGACCCAGGUCUGUAAGCUGCACCCCGGAACGGCUGCACUGCAUCAUCUUUGGGUUCAGCUUUUCUCUGUGCCCUGUUCAUUCUCUAGAGCACUCCUCCUUAGGUACAGCCAGACAGUGAUGAACACUGCCCCUCCAUCUGAGGAACUGCAGCAGGGUCUCCAAC
rnacentral:lncRNA from 1 species